rnacentral:lncRNA from 1 species
GAAGGGUACGUUCGGGAGAGGAUGAAGACUUGGGAGUGGUGUGUUUGCUGUAGACAAUUUCCAGAGCUUGAUCUCACCUCUCCACCCCAGUACUCUGGUGGUGCCCUGUCACUAUCGGGAUGGAGUGGUGAGCAGGCCUUGUUACCCACUUCCCCACCCCCACUGCUUAGAGCAAGUCUUGUAUUUCUCUGCUGCUGAGUGCAGGUCCUCCCCCUGCCACCCCCACG